UGGCGGCGUGCCUCAGACAUGCAAGUCGAACGAUUAAAGCUCUCUUCGGAGAGUGUAUAGAGUGGCGCACGGGUGAGUAACACGUAAGUAAUCUACCCUCGAGUGGGGAAUAACAACCGGAAACGGUUGCUAAUACCGCAUAAUGCAGCGGCACCGCAAGGUGACAGUUGUUAAAGAUUUAUCGCUUGAGGAGGAGCUUGCGGCAGAUUAGCUAGUUGGUAGGGUAACGGCUUACCAAGGCUACGAUCUGUAACCGGUCUAAGAGGACGGUCGGUCACACUGACACUGAAUAACGGGUCAGACUCCUACGGGAGGCAGCAGUCGGGAAUUUUGGGCAAUGGGCGAAAGCCUGACCCAGCAACGCCGCGUGAAGGAUGAAGUAUUUCGGUAUGUAAACUUCGAAAGAAUAGGAAGAAUUAAUGACGGUACUAUUUAUAAGGUCCGGCUAACUACGUG
rnacentral:rRNA from 1 species